UUAUGACCAUGGUUAGUGACCUCAAAGGCGAGGUCAUUGUAAAUACAGUUUCUAGACUGUGGUAGGGCAUUGGUUAGACCUGGCCCCAUCAAUUCACCUUUGGGGUACAAAGGUAUGACUAAGAAGAAAGAAAGUAAGGGGCACUGAAAAGAUCCCUGGGGGCCCCAGAAUCCACCCGACCCCUGCAGAGGCUGAUUGUGCUGACACAAACCUGGAGUCACCUGGGAAGAGGGAGCUCACCUGAAGAAUCCUCCAUCAGAUUGUUCUAUGGAUUCCCUCCUUACCCUGAAAGCCAGAGCUGCAGAGCCUACAGGCGUCUAGAACCCAGGCUCACUGCCGUCCCAGCCCUUACAGACCUGGAAACCUCAGCCUGGUGCUUCUCGAACACCGUGAACUAGAGCCCAAGGCUCAAUGUCUCUGCAGUUCACAGGCAGAAAACAAGCCAAAUGAAAAUGACGGAUGUCCCCAUCUCCCUGGACUUCUACACCUUGGCAUUUAAAGGUCCCUUUGUGUGUUUGGGAAUGAGAGAGACCAGGACCCUGGUGGCAAAGAGCACCAGCUUUUUAAAAAUAUGUUAAAAGAUA